rnacentral:rRNA from 1 species
AGUGAACGCUGGCGGUAGGCCUAACACAUGCAAGUCGAACGGCAGCACAGUAAGGGCUUGCUCUUACGGGUGGCGAGUGGCGGACGGGUGAGGAAUACAUCGGAAUCUACUUUUUCGUGGGGGAUAACGUAGGGAAACUUACGCUAAUACCGCAUACGACCUACGGGUGAAAGCAGGGGAUCUUCGGACCUUGCGCGAUUGAAUGAGCCGAUGUCGGAUUAGCUAGUUGGCGGGGUAAAGGCCCACCAAGGCGACGAUCCGUAGCUGGUCUGAGAGGAUGAUCAGCCACACUGGAACUGAGACACGGUCCAGACUCCUACGGGAGGCAGCAGUGGGGAAUAUUGGACAAUGGGCGCAAGCCUGAUCCAGCCAUACCGCGUGGGUGAAGAAGGCCUUCGGGUUGUAAAGCCCUUUUGUUGGGAAAGAAAAGCAGCAGGUUAAUACCCCGCUGUUCUGACGGUACCCAAAGAAUAAGCACCGGCGAACUUCGU